rnacentral:sRNA from 1 species
UUUUGCAGCUUUCAGAGCCCAGCAGCAACGCUUGCCAGUUUUCAGUUUAUUCGGCUCCCUCUACGUGUUGUGCUGCAAUGGAAGUAGGAUGUUGAGCUUUGUCAGUAGAGGGCGCUGGAGGGACCUUGCAGCGGGAGAGGCUGCUUUUCUCAGUUCUGGUGUUGCUUUGCCCCUGCAGUGCAGUCCCCCAGUAAUGCCAAGGAGAGCAGGAAGUCACCUCGCAAUCCUGGCCUGGGCCACCCAGGGGACUUCACCACCACCAUUACUACUUUUGCCCCCUUGUGAAAAAUCAGUUUGUCGUAGUUGUCCACGUCCGUUUCUGUACUUUUUAUUCUGUUCUGUUGGUCUGUGUGUCUAUCUCUUCUUCAGUAUGACACACUGUCUUGACUACUGUAGCAUUAUAGUAAAUCUUAAAUCAGGUAGUGUGAUUCCCCCAACUCUGUUCUUUUUCAGAUUCAUUUUGGUGAUUCCAGUUCCUUUGCCUUUCCAUAUAAAUUUUAGAACCGGCUUAUUUAUGUAUCUAUAAGAAAUCCUACUGGGAUUUGUGAUUUGGGAUUGCAGUAAAUCUAUAGAUAAUUUGGAGAGAACUGGGCAUCAUUUCUGUGUUGAGUAUUCCAUUCCAUGUACAUGAUGUGUCUCUCCAUUUAUUUAGGUUGUCUUUGAGUUCUUUCUUCAGCAUUUUGUAGUUCUCAGUAUACAGAUCCUGUAUGUUUUAUUUGAUUUGUACCUAAUAUUUAAUUAUUUUUUGCACCCAUUGUUGUAAAUCAUUUAAACAUUUUUCAUUUCCAGUUCAAAUUGCUAGCAUAUAGAAAUUCAGUUGGUUUUGUGUGAAUUUGUGUCCUGUGACCCUGCUAAACUCACUUUUUUAGUCUAGGAGUUUUUGUUUUUUGUUGAAGUCUAUGAAAUUUUCUAUGUAGACAAAGAUGUCUAUGAUUGGAGACAGUUUGACCUCUUCCUUGUGAAUCAGGAUGCCUCCUAAUUCUUUUUCUUGUCUUGUUGUGCUGACUCUGAAUUCACUUCUGGUACGAUAUUUAAUAGGAGUGGAGAUGGCGGACAGCUUUGCCUUGUUCCCUGCAUUCGUUCUUUCACCAUUAUGUACAGUGUUACCUGCAGGGUUUUUUUGUAGAUGUUCUUUAUCAAGUUGAGGAAGUUCCCCUCUAUUGCUCUUUCUCUGAGAGUUUUAUCAUGAAUUUGCGUUGAAUUUUGUCAGAUGUUUCUUGAGUCCUGCCUUGAGGUUAGGCCAGGCGAUACUGCAGGAAAAGCAGGAAACACACCACCAGUUUGGUGGUGCUUUGAAUUCUGGUCUUCUCCAAUCUGCACGUCGCUGUUUUUAUGUAAGAGCCUUCAAAUAGCUAGUCCAUGUAUUCUCUCAGUUUAAUAGCAGGAUUUUGUGGGAUAAACAGGGUGGAGUAAAUGAACCAGAGCCUUCUUUUAGAUACAAAUGUUGAUACUCAACUAUGUGGUUGCUGUAAGUAAUUUGUUCUUUUUAGUACUAAGUAAUAUUCUAUUGUGUAAAUAUGAUACAAUUUGUUUAUCCAUUCAUGUGUUGAUAGACUUUUGUGUAUUUCCAGUUAUAGACUCAUAAAUAAAGGUACUAUGGCUUGAUUACUUGUGAAGUUGAACUUUUUCCUUUUCGUGGACACUUUCCUCUGAAUUGCCCUUACCCAUUUUUAAAGUGAACUUUCUUUCUUACUGAUCUCUAUAAGAAGUUCACUUUUUUGAGUAUCAAUGUUUUGUUUAUGAUACACAUCACAAGUAUUUUCUCUAGUCUGUUUGGGUGACUGGUGGUGCCAUUAGCUAAGAUAGGGCCUAGAGGAAGAGCAACAAUGCAGGAGGAGACUCUAGCAAGGUGAAGACUUUUAGUUUCAGAUAUUUUGAGAUUGCCAAAAAUUUGGUAGAGAGAAGUGAUAUUGAUAGGGCAUUGAUUGAUUGGCUAUAGUCAUUCUCUUCAUUCCUAGGAUGAUAUUAAUCCAUCAUCAAAAAACUACAUGCUUGAAUCAGAUUUACACUGAGUUUUAGUGUUUGUGCCUGCUGUUUUUAUCAAGGGAAAUAGGUAUAUGCUGUAGGUGUCUUUGGAUGUGGUUCUCUUAAUAUCCCUUUAUAUGAACUUGCUCAUGAGAAAUCUCUGUGGGGCCAGAUGCUAGAUUUCUUCCUGUUAAGCAACAGUAAUAACUGCCUGAAUGCUUUGCUCUGUUCACAUUGUCAGGAAACUGACACUCAUGGGCACAUUGUCAGAGUCAUUCUCUGGAAACAUUUGUAUUGGCUGUAAGGUCCAUCUCUUCACCCUACAUCUUGACCCCCCACCUUGAUUUUCAUCUUAUAUAACUCUUUGUAAAAGGGUUGUAAGAGUAUAAAUAAUUUAAAAGAAUUGCCAGUAGUUAUUUCUAGUGCCAGGCAUAUGGCUUCGCAUAUAGGGGGGAUGCUGAGUAGAUGUCAUCAUGAUACAAAGAAUCAAAUGGCAGAUGUCUCCAAAAAUGGAAAGUCAGAGGGUUUCGAGAGUCUACUUCAGGAUUUAUCCUGACUAAAAGAAAUAACAAAUCUGUUUCUCAUUUCUUGUUGUCAUUAUUGUUGAUACUGUAGCUUGCAAACCAUACUGGGUACAUCAAAGUUGACUGGCAACGAGUGGAGAAGGACAUGAAGAAAGCCAAAGAGCAGCUGAAGAUCCGUAAGAGCAAUCAGAUACCUACUGAGGUCAGGAGCAAAGCUGAGGAGGUGGUGUCAUUUGUGAAGAAGAAUGUUCUAGUGACUGGGGGAUUUUUCGGAGGCUUUCUGCUUGGCAUGGCAUCCUAAGGAAGAUGACCUCAUGUUCAUUGUUCCUGUUUUUUUCCAGCCAGCAGCCUCUACACUCCAUCAUAGGACAUCGAGUCCCUCCUCCUCUUCUCCCAUGCCUUCCUCCCUGCCAUGGCAAAUCCGAGUGGCUUCUAUAAGCAUCUGCUGGUACAAGUCAAUGUGGCACCAUGAGCUUGAUGGUGGCAGAAGAGACAAUAGUCCUUAGCUCUCCUCCCAGUACACCCCCUACUUGGCCAGUCUGUAGGCCAACAAGAAGGUUCCUUUACCCCCAUGCAAGACACUUAUGAGAACACAUUACAAGAUGGCUGACCGUGGAGGAUGAGUGGAUCCUGAAAGCUUGUCCCAAACUGUUGAUUUGGAAAAGAAAUAAGCACAUAGAUAACCUUAUUGUGUGCUGCAUGGAAAGGAACUGAAUACAUUUGCCUUUAAGCAUGAAAGAUUUUGGUAUCUUGGUGUCUACUUUCUUUUUUAGUUGGUUUUACAUUACAGAAAGCUAUUUAAAUGUGUUAUAAUUAUGCCGACAAAAUUGGCAGCAUAAUUACUAUAAUUGAAAAAUCUGAUAUUGUCCAGGAAUGCUUUCUACCGUACAGGAUAAUGUAUCUCAUGGCUGUUUCCAAAGGGUUUAUUUAUUGUAAAACAAGUGAUUUAGGUGGGAAAGGGAAGAUUUUGGAUUUUUAUUUUGUAGAAAAGGUUUUAAGCUUUGAAAUGUGAAUGAAAUAUCCUUAUGAAAACAUUAGGGGUGGCCAUAACUCCUCUGUGCCACUUCUACUAUUUUUUUUUUAUCUAGUUAGUAUGAAAUACAACAUUUAAACCGGAAUUUUAAAGAAGUAGCUUUCCAGGGAUUCAGAAUUAAGAAAGAUAGUGAUAGGACAUGAGAAAUAAAUUUCCAUCAAGUGU